rnacentral:rRNA from 1 species
UACGUAGGGGGCAAGCGUUGUCCGGAAUUAUUGGGCGUAAAGAGCUCGUAGGCGGCUUGUUACGUCGGUUGUGAAAGCCCGAGGCUUAACCUCGGGUCUGCAGUCGAUACGGGCUAGCUAGAGUGUGGUAGGGGAGAUCGGAAUUCCUGGUGUAGCGGUGAAAUGCGCAGAUAUCAGGAGGAACACCGGUGGCGAAGGCGGAUCUCUGGGCCAUUACUGACGCUGAGGAGCGAAAGCGUGGGGAGCGAACAGG